AUUCAUGUUGCUUCAUUUUUUUAAUAACGGUGGACCUUAGAGGCCUAAGGUCCACUCUCAUUUAACACAGGCGGUCUUAAAACUGUUUAAAGGAAGUUGCCUGCACUUCGGUAGAUAUCCUUCAAUCAUCUAACACUCUUGAUAACAUGUCUCCAUUACAACCAUCUUAUAUUAACUCUAUAUGUUACACUCUUCAUCUAUUAUACCAUACUAUUGGGAGAGAAA